UGGGGAAUAUUGCACAAUGGGGGAAACCCUGAUGCAGCGACGCCGCGUGAGCGAAGAAGGCCUUCGGGUCGUAAAGCUCUUUUAUAUGGGAAGAUAAUGACGGUACCAUAAGAAAAAGCCCCGGCUAACUACGUGCCAGCAGCCGCGGUAAUACGUAGGGGGCUAGCGUUGUCCGGAAUCACUGGGCGUAAAGGGUUCGCAGGCGGCAAUGCAAGUCAGAUGUAAAAGGCAAAGGCUCAACCUUUAUAAGCAUCUGAAAAUGUAUAGCUUGAGAAGUGUAGAGGCAAGUGGAAUUUUUAGUGUAGCGGUGAAAUGCGUAGAUAUUAAAAAGAAUACCGGUGGCGAAGGCGACUUGCUGGGCACAAUCUGACGCUGAGGAACGAAAGCGUGGGGAGCAAACAGG
rnacentral:rRNA from 1 species